AACAACAUCCUGGUGCUGCCCGGGUGUGUGCAGCAGAACUCCAGCAUCAGUGAUUUUGUUG
ensembl:miRNA gmo-mir-338-2 gmo-mir-338-2